rnacentral:rRNA from 1 species
AGAGUUUGAUCCUGGCUCAGAUUGAACGCUGGCGGCAGGCUUAACACAUGCAAGUCGAGCGGAAACGAGUUAUCUGAACCUUCGGGGGACGAUAACGGCGUCGAGCGGCGGACGGGUGAGUAAUGCCUAGGAAAUUGCCCUGAUGUGGGGGAUAACCAUUGGAAACGAUGGCUAAUACCGCAUGAUGCCUACGGGCCAAAGAGGGGGACCUUCGGGCCUCUCGCGUCAGGAUAUGCCUAGGUGGGAUUAGCUAGUUGGUGAGGUAAGGGCUCACCAAGGCGACGAUCCCUAGCUGGUCUGAGAGGAUGAUCAGCCACACUGGAACUGAGACACGGUCCAGACUCCUACGGGAGGCAGCAGUGGGGAAUAUUGCACAAUGGGCGCAAGCCUGAUGCAGCCAUGCCGCGUGUGUGAAGAAGGCCUUCGGGUUGUAAAGCACUUUCAGUCGUGAGGAAGGUAGUGUAGUUAAUAGCUGCAUUAUUUGACGUUAGCGACAGAAGAAGCACCGGCUAACUCCGUGCCAGCAGCCGCGGUAAUACGGAGGGUGCGAGCGUUAAUCGGAAUCACUGGGCGUAAAGCGCAUGCAGGUGGUUUGUUAAGUCAGAUGUGAAAGCCCGGGGCUCAACCUCGGAAUAGCAUUUGAAACUGGCAGACUAGAGUACUGUAGAGGGGGGUAGAAUUUCAGGUGUAGCGGUGAAAUGCGUAGAGAUCUGAAGGAAUACCGGUGGCGAAGGCGGCCCCCUGGACAGAUACUGACACUCAGAUGCGAAAGCGUGGGGAGCAAACAGGAUUAGAUACCCUGGUAGUCCACGCCGUAAACGAUGUCUACUUGGAGGUUGUGGCCUUGAGCCGUGGCUUUCGGAGCUAACGCGUUAAGUAGACCGCCUGGGGAGUACGGUCGCAAGAUUAAAACUCAAAUGAAUUGACGGGGGCCCGCACAAGCGGUGGAGCAUGUGGUUUAAUUCGAUGCAACGCGAAGAACCUUACCUACUCUUGACAUCCAGAGAACUUUCCAGAGACGGAUUGGUGCCUUCGGGAACUCUGAGACAGGUGCUGCAUGGCUGUCGUCAGCUCGUGUUGUGAAAUGUUGGGUUAAGUCCCGCAACGAGCGCAACCCUUAUCCUUGUUUGCCAGCGAGUAAUGUCGGGAACUCCAGGGAGACUGCCGGUGAUAAACCGGAGGAAGGUGGGGACGACGUCAAGUCAUCAUGGCCCUUACGAGUAGGGCUACACACGUGCUACAAUGGCGCAUACAGAGGGCGGCCAACUUGCGAAAGUGAGCGAAUCCCAAAAAGUGCGUCGUAGUCCGGAUUGGAGUCUGCAACUCGACUCCAUGAAGUCGGAAUCGCUAGUAAUCGUGGAUCAGAAUGCCACGGUGAAUACGUUCCCGGGCCUUGUACACACCGCCCGUCACACCAUGGGAGUGGGCUGCAAAAGAAGUAGGUAGUUUAACCUUAGGGGGGACGCUUACCACUUUGUGGUUCAUGACUGGGGUGAAGUCGUAACAAGGUA